AAGGUUCGAUUCUGGCUCAGGAUGAACGCUAGCUACAGGCUUAACACAUGCAAGUCGAGGGGCAGCAUGAUCGAAGCUUGCUUUGAUUGAUGGCGACCGGCGCACGGGUGAGUAACGCGUAUCCAACCUUCCCUAUAGUAGAGAAUAGCCCGGCGAAAGUCGGAUUAAUGCUCUAUGUUGUAUUUAGAGGACAUCUGAAGAAUACCAAAGGUUUACCGCUAUAGGAUGGGGAUGCGUCUGAUUAGGUUGUUGGCGGGGUAACGGCCCACCAAGCCCACGAUCAGUAGGGGUUCUGAGAGGAAGGUCCCCCACAUUGGAACUGAGACACGGUCCAAACUCCUACGGGAGGCAGCAGUGAGGAAUAUUGGUCAAUGGACGGAAGUCUGAACCAGCCAAGUAGCGUGCAGGAUGACGGCCCUAUGGGUUGUAAACUGCUUUUAUACAGGGAUAAAGUGAGGGACGUGUCCCUUUUUGUAGGUACUGUAUGAAUAAGGACCGGCUAAUUCCGUGCCAGCAGCUGC
rnacentral:rRNA from 1 species